ACCCCUGUGGAAAAUUCCCCAAUCCUGUUUCUGACACCUCAUAUGAAAGCUGCAUGUGCAGUCUUACUGCUAUUUUGCAAGCCUGAGGCUU
rnacentral:snoRNA from 2 species